AUUUGGUUCGUUCGAAACCGGAGGGAACGGUUUCCAACCCCCGUCCACCCGAGCCCUGAUCGCAGCGGGUCUUCCCGUCGGCGCUGCGGCGUUUUCCUCGCGAAGAGCGGCUAUAGGCGAACGGCGGCGGGGUCUCCCUCCGGAGAUCAUUUCCUCGAAUCUUCGACGUGAAACAUAAUCUGUGUUGGGGUGAGGGAUUCGUGGUCGUCAGCAGAGGGAGGGCACAUUCCAGUAGUGCAAUCAUGGAUGUUGAUUCACAGCCAAACAUAGAAGAAACAAUUCUAGUAGGUGAUGACCUUAUGCUGGGGCUCCCUUCACCUAUCAUUCCACCGGAGAUUGCAUCUCAUGUUCUUGAAGGUGUUGAUUUAUGUGAUGGAGUGCUAAGGAAUCUUUUUUUAUGCUUGCAAAUCAAUGAUAUUGAACCAUUUUGCCAAGAUGAGAUUGUUUUGUAUCGAGAGUGUGCUGAGAAAAGGGAUAAAGAGCUAAGACAGAGACUUUCAGAUAGUGAACAUAAAUUGGGGCUGUCCAUGCCCAUUGAAGAAGCAAAGGAAAGAGCUGCUCAACUUCAAUCAGAAGUUACAUCUCUAGAAAGGCACAUGAUUCUUGCAAGUGGAAUUCAAGGCAUGGAAGGAUUUCGUCAGCGCUGGAGCUUGCAUGGACGUCUUGAGGAUACCAAAAGAAGAAUGGAAGCUUUAAACCAGGGAAUAGAAAAGAGGAAACCUGACAAGAUCCACGGAGAGCCAGUUAGAAAAAAAUGGUUUUUUUGGUAGAUUUUUUUGCUCUCUUGAGAUUUCUGAUUAUGUUUUUGAUUUCAAAGGGUUCUACAUCAGCAUUCAAUUAUAAUUUAUUCUUGGCUACCAUAAUUCCUGUUCAUUACCUGAAUACAUUCGGUCAACUUGAUUCUCAAGAAGAAGGUGUAGAAACAGGACUUCCUGAUAGACUCUGAAGGCCCACUUCACCUUCCACCGAAGAACCGAGUCAACUCUAAGCAAAUCUUCACUGCUGGAAAGGGUGCCUCCACCACCAACCCUAACCAAACAUCAUAACAAUGGCUCCUAAUUCCUACAAAUAAUGCAAUAGGUUGGUGGGCCAGUUUUAUCUAUGCCUCCUUAGCUUCCCAUAUCUGCGUGUACAUAUGUCUUCACCAAAUCAAUUGGAUUACAAACCCUGCAAUGAUGGAGUUCUUUCCAUAAGGAAAACAACUCCCUCGUCGUGGGAGAAGGCUUGUCCCGCAAGCAUUGAUGCAAUUUUCCUGGUGAUCUAGUGGGUGUAACGACUCCCACAUAGAUGCACUGCCAACUGUCUUUUGAGAGCUUGAGUAAGGGCCUGCAUCCACUGUCUCCACAGAUACAUGUAUGUGUGUGUGUGUGUGUGUGUGCAGGUGGAGGCGACGCCGGUGAAGAGGCUGUGCAGGACCCACAACAUCAUCACAGUCAACGGCCAGUUAGUAACCCGGGACGACGCGGGCGACGCUCGUGGUCUACGGUUGACGUCAACGGGGCUAAGUACCACGUCACGCUUCACGUGCCGGUUCACGAUCGAGGAGCAGGAAGGCACGGUGUGGUGGUGGCACGCACACAGCUCCUGGCUCUCUUCCUUCUCUCAACCCUUGCAAUGGAGACAUCUCAAGCAACCAGUGAGCCCGUUCCUUCUUCCCAACUUGUCAACAAGCGAAGACUGCUGAGCUCUCUUAUGGAAGCCACAGCCACGGCUGCCUCCACCAUCCCCGACCGACCCCCUACGAUCAAGGAGGACACCUACCCCGUAUCCACCAAGUCCUCCGAGCAUAAGGCACUUUGGGAACCCACGCCCAUCUCCAUGACGAGGCGGACGCUGUCCUCCUCAAGUUCCUGCCCCACGACUUCGACGUGGGGCAGGCGCAGGACAUGCUGGUGCGGUGCGCGGAGUGGCAACGAGAGUUUGACGUCGAUAGGGCGGCCGGGGAGGAGCUGGUGGAGUUCAAGAAGCUGGAGGGCAUGGUGGCGUAGCUGGGACCGGCAGCCACCCAUGUGCUACAAGCAUCUUUGGGGGUAAGAUCGUGUAAGAGCACGAGCAACGCCGAGAAGCUACAAUGCUUUCUGAUAGAAGCUCGUGAUAUAAAGAAAUAUGAGAUGAUAAAUUUAUAUUUAUUACAUAUUCUAAUC